rnacentral:lncRNA from 1 species
GGCUGGGCGCUGCAGCAGAAGCCCGGGACUGUCACGGCGGCUGCUGGCUCUGACUGGCCUGCGGCUGGCUUCACCACCCAACUCCAGGAUCCCAGCGGUGAACACCUACCUCCGGCUAAGAAGGAACGCAGCCAGUAGAAGUCUCGGCGAGAGGUCGGGCCCCCGCUCCCCGCCGCCUGCGGCACCGCGGGUGGAGGCUCGGCCGCCGCCAGGGCCGCUGCAGCCACCAGGGCCGCCAUCCGGACCUGCGCCACGUCCCGAGCCUCCGCUGCCAACUUACAAAACACUAGGAAGCACCAUGGCUGUUGCCGGCUCUGACAGGAGCCGAGCUGCCGCGCGGGCGGGGCUAAAUGAUGCCCGUGGCGCGGCGGCACGGAAUGAUGACGCACGCGGCCG